rnacentral:misc_RNA from 1 species
CGCACAUUGCGCCUAUUGGUAUUCCAAUAGGCAUGCCUGUUCGAGCGUCAUUUAAACCUUCAAGCUUUGCUUGGUGUUGGGUGUUGUCGCAUGUUUUAAGUAUGUCGACUCGCCUUGAAUAAAUUGGCAGCCAGCAAUUGGGUGUUGGAGCGCAGCACAAUUUGCGUUCUCAGCCACAGUAGUCGGCGUCCAUGAAGCUUAUUUUAACGUUUGACCUCGGAUCAGGUAGGGAUACCCGCUGAACUUAA